rnacentral:rRNA from 1 species
CCUACGGGAGGCAGCAGUGAGGAAUAUUGGUCAAUGGGCGGAAGCCUGAACCAGCCAAGUAGCGUGCGGGAUGAAGGCCCUACGGGUCGUAAACCGCUUUUACACGGGGAUAACACCCUCCACUUGUGGAGGUCUGCAUGUACCGUACGAAUAAGGGCCGGCUAACUCCGUGCCAGCAGCCGCGGUAAUACGGAAGGCCCGAGCGUUAUCCGGAUUCAUUGGGCUUAAAGGGAGCGUAGGCGGGCGUUCAAGUCAGCUUGAAAAUCGCGCGGCUCAACCCCGCCACGCAGUUGAAACUGGACGCCGUGAGUUCACAACAGGGAGGCGGAAUUCGGGG